UGGGGAAUAUUGGACAAUGGGCGAAAGCCUGAUCCAGCCAUGCCGCGUGUGUGAAGAAGGUCUUCGGAUUGUAAAGCACUUUAAGUUGGGAGGAAGGGCAUUAACCUAAUACGUUAGUGUUUUGACGUUACCGACAGAAUAAGCACCGGCUAACUCUGUGCCAGCAGCCGCGGUAAUACAGAGGGUGCAAGCGUUAAUCGGAAUUACUGGGCGUAAAGCGCGCGUAGGUGGUUUGUUAAGUUGGAUGUGAAAUCCCCGGGCUAAACCUGGGAACUGCAUUCAAAACUGACUGACUAGAGUAUGGUAGAGGGUGGUGGAAUUUCCUGUGUAGCGGUGAAAUGCGUAGAUAUAGGAAGGAACACCAGGGGCGAAGGCGACCACCUGGACUAAUACUGACACUGAGGUGCGAAAGCGUGGGGAGCAAACA
rnacentral:rRNA from 1 species